UGGGUAAUAUUGGACAAUGGGCGAAAGCCUGAUCCAGCCAUGCCGCGUGUGUGAAGAAGGUCUUCGGAUUGUAAAGCACUUUAAGUUGGGAGGAAGGGCAGUAAGCGAAUACCUUGCUGUUUUGACGUUACCGACAGAAUAAGCACCGGCUAACUCUGUGCCAGCAGCCGCGGUAAUACAGAGGGUGCAAGCGUUAAUCGGAAUUACUGGGCGUAAAGCGCGCGUAGGUGGUUCGUUAAGUUGAAUGUGAAAGCCCCGGGCUCAACCUGGGAACUGCAUCCAAAACUGGCGGGCUAGAGUAGGGCAGAGGGUGGUGGAAUUUCCUGUGUAGCGGUGAAGUGCGUAGAUAUAGGAAGGAACACCAGUGGCGAAGGCGACCACCUGGGCUCAUACUGACACUGAGGUGCGAAGGCGUGGGGAGCAAACAGG
rnacentral:rRNA from 1 species